CCUACGGGUGGCAGCAGUGGGGAAUAUUGCACAAUGGGGGAAACCCUGAUGCAGCGACGCCGCGUGAGUGAAGAAGUACUUCGGUAUGUAAAGCUCUAUUAGUAGGGAAGAAGAAAGACGGUACUUGACUAAGAAGCCUCGGCUAACUACGUGCCAGCAGCCGCGGUAAUAUGCAGGGGGCCAGCGUUAUCCGGAUUUACUGGGUGUAAAGGGAGCGUAGACGGUUGUGCAAGUCUGAAGUGAAAGCCCAGGGCUCAACCCUUGGACUGCAUUGGAAACUGGGGAGCUAGAGUGCUGGAGAGGUAAGUGGAAUUCCUAGUGUAGCGGUGAAAUGCGUAGAUAUUAGGAAGAACACCAGUGGCGAAGGCGGCUUACUGGACAGUAACUGACGUUGAGGCUCGAAAGCGUGGGGAGCAAACAGGAUUAGAUACCCUUGUAGUC
rnacentral:rRNA from 1 species